AUUGAACGCUGGCGGCAGGCCUAACACAUGCAAGUCGAGCGGAGCGGCGGACGGGUGAGUAAUGCCUAGGAAUAUGCCUGGUAGUGGGGGAUAACGUCCGGAACCGGGCGCUAUUACCGCAACCUAUCAGAUGAGCCUAGGUCGGCUUAGCUAGUUGUUGGGGUAAAGGCAUACCAAGGCGACGAUCCGUAACUGGUCUGAGAGGAUGAUCAGCCACACUGGAACUGAGACACGGUCCAGACUCCUACGGGAGGCAGCAGUGGGGAAUAUUGGACAAUGGGCGAAAGCCUGAUGCAGCCAUGCCGCGUGUGUGAAGAAGGUCUUCGGAUUGUAAAGCACUUUAAGUUGGGAGGCGUUACCAACAGAAUAAGCACCGGCUAACUUCGUGCCAGCAGCCGCGGUAAUAC
rnacentral:rRNA from 1 species